rnacentral:rRNA from 1 species
AGCGAACGCUGGCGGCAUGCUUAACACAUGCAAGUCGCACGGUUGGGGCUUUCGGGUCCUGGCAGUGGCGGACGGGUGAAGUAUCGCGUAGGGAUUUGUCGGUUGGGUGGGGACUAACCGUGGGAAACGUGCGGCUAAUACCGCAUGGCGCCUGUGGCCAAAGGUGUGUGAGCACUGCCUGACGAGGAGCCUGCGUCCGAUUAGCUAGUUGGUUGGGUAAU